AGGAUAAGACAGUAAACAACAAAUUCCAUUUCCACCAAAGGAAGUGUUUAGACUGAGGAAUUACACAGAACUUCCUACUUUAAGUAUUUGCAAGACAUCAACAGCCCUGUCUACAUGGGCAAAAAAGAUUCUUCUGUACUCCAUGAGUUGUGAAUGGUGUUACAGACGGUAGACGUCAAAAAAGGGAAGACGUUUGGCAAAACCCCGAAAUUGUUGCCACAGGACUGCCCUUCAUUAUUUUCUGCAAUCUGAAAAUUAGUUAACGGGUAUCCAUCGUAGAAGUGCUUCUUAUACAAUUUGGGCUAGACUGUGCUGCUCUGAUGUUCGAGGCAGAGUAAAGGAUGCAAGGAGCUGACUUUCAUCUGAGUGCACAGAUGCACUUACAAUUGCCUGUUUCUUCUUUGAUGGGACUGCUUUUGUAAGCAAGAUUGACCCUAACAGCUGAUCCUGCAAUUCUUACCCAUGAGAGUAGACCCAGUGAGGUGAAUAGGACUACAGACCUGAAUGAGGGCUGCAGGGUUGGGUCCUGAGAUUUUAAUGGGCAUGAUUUC